rnacentral:misc_RNA from 1 species
CUUCGACAGAAGAUUCUGUUUUCAGACAUCGACAAGAUCCUCCUCGUUUUGCAGUGCUUUUACCAGCUGUUCCUCCAGGAAAUGAUCUUUAUACCUAUUCCGAUUCUUCGAGAACGCGAGUUUAUUCCAUGUUUAACCCGCUCAUGCUUUUUUUAGACGCGAAUAUAUGUAGCUAAACGCUCGUAAAACAUCAGCAGUGACGUGAUUUGAUUUGUACGACGGAUGGAAUAAACACUGCGAAUGAUAGGUAGUUCGUUUGUUCAACGCGUUCCAUCGUCGCGCAAUCGUUUCUUGAAUAUCGUGUGCUCCUCGUGAGUACUUGGUCUGAUUCUAGCGGCAUCGAGGAUUCUAGACAUACGACUGGAGUAUUUGGUCCCACGCGAAGAGUCGAAUGGCGACGAGGAAGUAGAAUCGUCUUUGGAGUUGCUUUUAUUUCUUGGAUAAAUUUCGGUUGCUGUUCCCAGUUUGAGGAAGAUGUGCUGGGAUCUCGUCCAUCUGCUUCCGAACUGAAUAAUAGAAAAAUGAAAUUAAGCAUCAACAGCAAAAGUGGAUUGGGCUACAUCUUUUCUUACAGCAUCUAAUGAUGCGCUGGUGGACUCAUUGGCGAAGGUUUUUGGAAAAUGGUACGUGAGACACGUUCCGCAUAAAAGUUUCCGUAUGAUCUAAAGGAAAGAUCCAAGAGAUCUAAUUGAGCAAAUUAAAAAUCCAGUUGCAGCUCACUGUUGACACUGUAUGUCUUUGUCAUUGAAUAUUUCGUCAUAUAAA